AAUCUGAAUUUUAAUUAUUUGGAGCAAAAUAUCCUGGACCAAAUUUCUUAACUUACUUUUUCUGCAAUUUACACUUCAUUUUUCUGUCUGUAGCUCAUUCCUUUUCUCCUGCUGAUUUACUUCCUUCUUUAUAACAGUACCUUGUUAAUCUUAAAUCCUUGAGCCAGCCAAUAUAUUUUUUCAGUUCUGAGAAGAUUGGGUAGAAUUUUGAGAUUUGGGAGUCAUAUUAGCAAUACUAAUUUAUUCCCAAAAUAUACAAUGGAAGGCACAGAAGAAAAGAAAAGGAACUUUAAAGAGACUUUAAAAAAUGAUUAUUUUGAAGAACUAAUUCAUGCACAAAGCAAAUCAUAGCAAAAAAUAGAAAAAAAAACCCAUAAACUAAAGUUUAGGUCUCCCUUUUCAUCACUGUAUUUGUUCUCUGGGGCACAUUAUGGCCAGUUACUUUUAUGAGAAAACAUAAAAUUUUCUCAAUGUAUAGUCCCAGAAUUAUAUUUAAAAGGCAAUAAUUGCUUCAGUAAAUAAUGCCACAGGUGUGAGCUUACUGUUUAUAAGGUUUAUGACUUCCUCCUUUUCACUACUCUUUUGGCUCAGGCUGUUUAACUAAUGGCAUCCAUUGGGAGUGGAUUCCAGGAUCUCCCUACCAGUAUCUGACCAUGUUCAAGUGCCUUUCAUGAAAUGGUAUAGUAAUUGCAUUUAACCUACUCACAUCCUUCCAUAUACUUUAAAUCAUCUCUAGAUUAAUUGUAAUGCCUAAUACAAUGUCAAUGCUGUGUGAAAAGUGGUUAUACUCUGUUGUUUGAGGAUAAUGAGAAGAGAAAAUCUGGGCCCCUUUAGUACAGAUGCCAUCAUUGUAGGCAUAACUAUAUUACACACAUCAGCAACAACAUAUUUCAUUUCUUUUUUCAGGUGGUGGGGAUUUUUUUUUUCCAGUCUGGGGAUUGAACCCAAGGCCUUGUGCAUGGAUAUUUUUGAUCCUUCGGUGUCUGAAUCCAGGGAUGGAUAUGAGGGCCUACUGUGAUUAUCCUUGUACACAUGAGGAAGCUGAGACUUACGUGUUGAGUUUGCUGAAGUACCAGAUUCUGAAUGUGAGCCUUGGCAGAUUCAUCUUGUGCACCACAUUUUGUAAAUACUACAGACUGAUAUCAGGAAAGACCAUCAUGUCCUACAAGUUAGAACUCCAGUGACAUUUCACUCCCAGUGGAGAAUGUGUCUAACUCCAAGUCUGAAGCUUAUCUCAGCAGUCGAUUCACUGAUCUUCCUUAUACCACAUGAUUUUCAGAGCUCUUAGGGCAUCUGAUAGCCUUUUGUACAUUUGUAGCAGGGUGCUUGAUAUAUUGGUUCGUGCUAAAUUGUUAUUUCAUGAAUGAACAAAUAAAUGAACACUGAAGUAAAGGGCUACUGUUGUAGCCACAAUAUCAAAUGAAGUUUUCCUUUAAAAUUCCCUGAGAGUGACUAACAGGAUGAUUUUCCCACAUCUGAAUCACAAUGAGACAUUUUCAAGUUAUCCUGAAACCUGAAAAAGUAGUGCACAUUGUUGGAUAAUUCGAUGCCAAACUAAAACCUGGAGUCAAUUACGAUGAAUUUAAAAACUAUAGGCAAGAAUUAUGUAUAUCAAAGUGCAUAAAUGUAUUCUACUGUCAUGUAUAACUAUUUAGAACAAAUAAAAAAUUAAAAAUAAACUAUAGGCAGGAAAAGUU